GAGGUGGUUCCUCCACCAUUUUCGUGCUCCACACCACUACAAAAACCACUUAUACCCUCACCCAUUUCUAGUUCCCCUUGUGCCCGGUUCAUAAGAGGGGCGUAAGAACCCCUUCGAAGCGAUUUUUGUGGCUUGUCAUCUUGCAGUGCAGCAGGGGCGUCGUAGAUAGGUCUUGCAGGUUUUGGAGUUUCCUUGCAUUGCAUAUGGGGGGGGAUCGAGUGAGAACCUUGACGCGUGCCCUGUUCGAACCAUUUUUGACGCUACAUGUGAUUUCGAAUUGAAAGUGUGUAUGUUUUGGUUGAGGCAUGAGUCCUCCUUUUGAUGUAAUUCGUUCCGCUGCAAAGAUUUAUAUCGUUUUAUAUUUUGUUAUAGUAUCUUGAAUGGCUUGUACAGUGGAUUAUCUUUUUGCUUGGAAAACCCAAGUGUUUACAUGGGAACCACGAUCCAUGCUUAGCAUGUCGACAGAGGUUUUGGCGAUGACCUUUCCGCCGUGAUUCUGUUACGAGGCCAUUGAUGCCUCUUCAUUAUGAUGAUUUAUCGUUUGUCUAAAUCUUCGGCGCGUCAAAUUUCAAGGCAGAUGCUGCCGAAAUUUCCGUAGGAUUUUGUUUGGAAGUUUUCAAACGUCAUCUCUUUCU